GGGGAUGUUCUGCAUAGAACUUGUUUGUGUGACUCGUCAUGCAUUUCUGUCCAGAGCCGCACAUACGUAAUCGUGGGGGGCUUAGCUGGCUUGUGUUCUGUAUCUGGCCUCUGGAUCAGAAUUGGCCCUUCUGUUCCUGAUGCCAAGAGGGAUUUAUAAGCCUCCCAUGCCUCCUGAAGCCAGACCUGGCUGGUCCCCUGGUGGAUCUGGGAGGGAAGAGGAACAAACAAAUGCCCAGGCUCCUAAGAUUGUGAGAUAUGACAAGAGAAAAAAAACCCAGCUUGCUCAGGACUGCACUUAGACAAACUUAAUGUGUAGAUCACACAUGGAUGGUAUUUCUACUGCCCUGGUGGCAAUAGUUAGUUGGAAGCCUCACCCGAGAGGAGGACGCUCUGCCCAGGACCCUCAAUCGGGACUCCAACUGGGCUGUUCACUGCGCUUCCCCAGCCAGAAGGCUGCAAGUUCCUGUGAAGAAUGAAGGCCUGCAACACCCACAUGACUGAGCCUGGAACCACAGCUGAGUCUUGAGAUGACCGCAGCCCUGGCCAACAGCUUAACUGUAACCUCAUGAGAGACCGAAGCCAGAACCGCCUAGCUAAACCACUGCGGAUUCCUGACCUUUGGCAACUACUGAGAUAAUAAAUGUUUGCUGUUAAGUUGCUAAAUUUGGGAGUAAUUGGUUCCAUAGCAACAGAUAUUGAAUACAGAUGGUGUUAGAAAAAUGAUACAAACUGCACAGAGUUCAAUGUGAUAGUCUACCAUGCAAAUAAAACUGUGUGAUGUACUAUG